rnacentral:rRNA from 1 species
UUCCGGUUGAUCCUGCCGGACCUUACUGCUAUCGGGGUGGGACUAAGACAUGCGAGUCGAGCGUCUCUAGCUAUGUUGAGACGCGGCAGACGGCUCAGUAACACGUGGCUAACCUACCCUCAGGACGAGGAUAAACCCGGGAAACUGGGGCUAAUACUCGAUAGGUGAGAAUGUCUGGAAUGAUUUCUCAUUCAGAGGGCUUUAGAAACAUGCUUCUAAAGUCGCCUGGGGAUGGGGCCGCGUCCGAUCAGGUUGUUGGUGAGGUAACGGCUCACCAAGCCUAUAACCGGUACGGGCCGUGAGAGCGGUAGCCCGGAGAUGGGUACUGAGACAAGGACCCAGGCCCUACGGGGCGCAGCAGUCGCGAAAACUCCGCAAUGCACGAAAGUGUGACGGGGCUACCCCGAGUGCCAUCCGCUGAGGAUGGCUUUUCUUUGGUGUAACUAGCCGGGGGAAUAAGGAGAGGGCAAGACUGGUGUCAGCCGCCGCGGUAAUACCAGCUCUCCGAGUGGUAGGGAUGAUUAUUGGGCUUAAAGCGUCCGUAGCCGGCUUAGCAAGUCUCCUGUUAAAUUCAGCGACCUAAUCGUUGAGCCGCGGGAGAUACUACUAGGCUAGGAGGCGGGAGAGGUCGACGGUACUUCCGGGGUAGGGGUGAAAUCCUAUAAUCCCGGGAGGACCACCAGUGGCGAAGGCUGUUGACUAGAACGCGCUCGACGGUGAGGGACGAAAGCUGGGGGAGCGAACCGGAUUAGAUACCCGGGUAGUCCCAGCCGUAAACGAUGCGGGCUAGUGUUGGGGUGGCUACGUGCCACUUCAGUGCCGCAGGAAGCCAUUAAGCCGCCGCUGGGAGUACGGCGCAGGCUGAACUUAAAGAUGCGGGGGAGCACACAGGCGUGAGCUGCGUUCAUUGGAUCACGCCGGU